UACGGAGGGUGCAAGCGUUAUCCGGAUUCACUGGGUUUAAAGGGUGCGUAGGUGGGUUGAUAAGUCAGUGUUGAAAUCCCCGAGCUUAACUUGGGAACUGCCAUUGAUACUAUUGAUCUUGAAUACCGUGGAGGUCAGCGGAAUAUGUCAUGUAGCGGUGAAAUGCUUAGAUAUGACAUAGAACACCAAUUGCGAAGGCAGCUGGCUACGCGAAUAUUGACACUGAUGCACGAAAGCGUGGGGAUCAAACAGG
rnacentral:rRNA from 1 species